GAUGAACGCUGGCGGCGUGCCUAAUACAUGCAAGUCGAGCGAACAGACGAGGAGUUUGCUCCUUUGACGUUAGCGGCGGACGGGUGAGUAACACGUGUAUAACCUACCUAUAAGACUGGGAUAACUUCGGGAAACCGGAGCUAAUACCGGAAAAUAUUUCGAACCGCAUUGUUCGAUAGUGGAAGAAGGCUGUGCUAGCAGUUAUAGAUUGACCUGCCGCGGAUUAGCUAGUUGGUAAGGUAAAGGCUUACCAAGGCUAGGAUUCGUAGCCGACCCCAGAGGGUGGUCGGCCACACUGGAACUGAGAAAGGGUCCCGACUCCGACAGUAGGAAGCAGUAGGGAAUCUUACGCGAUGGGCGAAAGGCUGACGGAGCAACACCGCGGCAGUGAUGAUGGUGUUAUGAUCGUAGAACGAUGUUAUUAGGAAAGAACAAAAGUGUAAGUAACUGUGAACGUCUUGACGGUACCUAAACAGAAAGCCACGGCUAACUCCGUG
rnacentral:rRNA from 1 species